GAUGAAGAACGCAGUGAAAUGCGAUAAGUAAUGUGAAUUGCAGAAUUCCGUGAAUCAUCGAAUUUUUGAACGCACAUUGCGCCCCCUGGUAUUCCGGGGGGCAUGCCUGUCCGAGCGUCAUUGCUGCCCUCAAGCACGGCUUGUGUGUUGGGCCUCCGUCCUCCUCCCGGGGGACGGGCCCGAAAGGCAGCGGCGGCACCGCGUCCGGUCCUCGAGCGUAUGGGGCUUCGUCACCCGCUCUUGUAGGCCCGGCCGGCGCUUGCCGACACAUCAAUCUUUUUUCCAGGUUGACCUCGGAUCAGGUAGGGAUACCCGCUGAACUUAAGCAUAUCAAUAAGCGGAGGA
rnacentral:misc_RNA from 1 species